rnacentral:rRNA from 1 species
UACGGAGGGAGCUAGCGUUGUUCGGAAUUACUGGGCGUAAAGCGCGCGUAGGCGGCUUUGUAAGUUAGAGGUGAAAGCCCGGAGCUCAACUCCGGAAUUGCCUUUAAGACUGCAUCGCUUGAAUCCGGGAGAGGUGAGUGGAAUUCCGAGUGUAGAGGUGAAAUUCGUAGAUAUUCGGAAGAACACCAGUGGCGAAGGCGGCUCACUGGACCGGUAUUGACGCUGAGGUGCGAAAUCGUGGGGAGCAAACAGG